rnacentral:tRNA from 1 species
AGGUUUAUAGCUCAAUGGGAGAGCUACCGAUCUUUCAAGACCGUGCUUGGAUCUCUAUGCUUCGGUAGACGCAAGUUCGAUUCUUGCAAAAUCUC